UACGUAGGCAGCAAGCGUUGUUCGGAAUUACUGGGCGUAAAGAGUGUGUAGGCGGUGCUCUAAGUUCGUUGUGAAAUCUCCCGGCUUAACUGGGAGGGUGCGGCGGAAACUGGAGUGCUUGAGCGCGGGAGAGGAAAGCGGAAUUCCUGGUGUAGCGGUGAAAUGCGUAGAUAUCUGGAGGAACACCGGUGGCGAAGGCGGCAUCCUGGACCGGCAUUGACGCUGAGGCGCGAAAGCCAGGGGAGCAAACGGG
rnacentral:rRNA from 1 species